rnacentral:tRNA from 2 species
UGGCAGGUAACUCAGUUGGUAGAGUACCCGACUGUUAAUCGGGUUGUAGCGGGUUCGAGUCCCGCCCUGUCAGCCA